rnacentral:lncRNA from 1 species
UGAUGAGCGGCGUGGAGUCGAGCGCAGCAGCGCCGGGAGGGGCGCCAGCGGGUCCCUCGCGUCCGUGGCUCUCCUCCAAAGGUAUCCUGCUCCUCCUCUGCGUCUUCCUCAUCUGCAUGUGCGCCAUCAUUGGCCUGGUGGUCUACCUCGUCAUCCUCAAAGGCAAAUCGCUGCCGGGAGGAGCACCAGCGGAGCCAGAAGGUCCUGACCGAUAAGGUCAGAGCCGUAGAAGUGACGCAGUUCGUCAACAGACCUGCGCUCUCUUGGGAGGGUGGCUGGAGGACCAGUGGCACCAUCGAAACAGCGACAUUCGAAAGUGGCCCGACACUUGGGGAAAUGGAUUCCCGGGUCAAUCGCAACGCUCCCCAGUUGUACCCUGGCCUCACAGCUAGAUGAAUAAAACGCUCUAAGAAGCAGCAUA